CCUACGGGUGGCAGCAGUGGGGAAUAUUGGACAAUGGGCGAAAGCCUGAUCCAGCCAUGCCGCGUGUGUGAAGAAGGCCUUCGGGUUGUAAAGCACUUUCAGUGGGGAAGAAAGCCUUGGGGCUAAUACCCUCGAGGAAGGACAUCACCCACAGAAGAAGCACCGGCUAACUCCGUGCCAGCAGCCGCGGUAAUACGGAGGGUGCGAGCGUUAAUCGGAAUUACUGGGCGUAAAGCGCGCGUAGGCGGUCUGAUAAGCCGGUUGUGAAAGCCCCGGGCUCAACCUGGGAACGGCAUCCGGAACUGUCAGGCUAGAGUGUAGGAGAGGAAGGUAGAAUUCCCGGUGUAGCGGUGAAAUGCGUAGAGCUCGGGAGGAAUACCAAUGGCGAAGGCGGCCUUCUGGACUGUCACUGACGCUGAGGCGCGAAAGCGUGGGUAGCAAACAGGAUUAGAUACCCUAGUAGUC
rnacentral:rRNA from 1 species